AGUGGCGAACGGGUGAGUAACGCGUGGGCAAUCUGCCCUUCAGAUGGGGACAACAUCCCGAAAGGGGUGCUAAUACCGAAUGCGAUCGUUUUCCCGCAUGGGAUUGCGAUGAAAGAUGGCCUCUAUUUAUAAGCUAUCGCUGAAGGAUGAGCCUGCGUCUGAUUAGCUAGUUGGUGGGGUAACGGCCUACCAAGGCGAUGAUCAGUAGCCGGUCUGAGAGGAUGAACGGCCACAUUGGGACUGAGACACGGCCCAAACUCCUACGGGAGGCAGCAGUGGGGAAUAUUCCGCAAUGGACGAAAGUCUGACGGAGCAACGCCGCGUGAGUGAUGAAGGUUUUCGGACUGUAAAGCUCUGUUGUUUAGGACGAAAGUGCCUGUUGCGAACAGUUACAGGUAUUGACGGUACUAAACGAGGAAGCCACGGCUAACUACGUGCCAGCAGCCGCGGUAAUACGUAGGUGGCAAGCGUUGUCCGGAAUUAUUGGGCGUAAAGAGCAUGUAGGCGGAGAUUUAAGUCUGUUGUGAAAAUGCGGGGCUCAACCCCGUAUUGCGAUGGAAACUGAAUUUCUUGAGUGCAGGAGAGGAAAGGGGAAUUCCCAGUGUAGCGGUGAAAUGCGUAGAUAUUGGGAGGAACACCAGUGGCGAAGGCGCCUUUCUGGACUGUGUCUGACGCUGAGAUGCGAAAGCCAGGGUAGCGAACGGGAUUAGAUACCCCGGUAGUCCUGGCC
rnacentral:rRNA from 1 species